rnacentral:rRNA from 1 species
GACGAACGCUGGCGGCGUGCCUAAUACAUGCAAGUCGAACGGAAAGGCCCGGCUCUUGUGGCGUGCUCGUGUGCCGAGCAGGGGAGAAACACGCGUGUAACAUCUCCCUGUCUUUGGGAGAAAACCUGGAAAAACGGGCUCUAAUCCCAUAUGAGCUCUUGCUGCACGGGGGUGGUUGGUAAGAGUCGGCGGUGGGGGAUGGAAUAGCGGCUUAUCAGCUUCUUGGUGGGGUAGUGGCGUACCAGGGCUUUGACGGGUAGCCGGCCUGAGAGGGUGACCGGCCACAAUGGGACUGAGGUAGGGCCCAGACUGCAACGUGAGGCAGCGGUGGAAAGUAUUGCGCAAUGGGCGGAAGCCUGAUACAGCGGCGCCGCGUGCGGGAUGACGGCUUUCGGGGUAUAAACCGCUUUCGCCUGUGACGAAGCGUGAGUGACGGUAAUGAGUCAGGAAGCACCGGCUAACUACGUG